rnacentral:lncRNA from 1 species
AAAUACGCAUCAAAGCAGCAGAACAUAACUGCCAAAAAAAAACAGAGCAUCUAUCAACACAUCAAAGAAAAAAACAUCAUCUCAUGAAUGGGGGGCAACUUCAAAAGAGCUAAUCAGAGGAGCUUGAGCUUGCAGCUUCAUCAGCAUCAGAAACAGAAUUGCCACUUGUCUCAUCAUUAGUUGCAGACCUCUCACUAGAGGUUUGGG